AAGGGGGCGAUGGGCGUGCGGGUGGGUGAGGGCAGCGGGGCCGUUCCCUCCGGUGGCCUUGCUGGCUUUUUGCUGGAGUAACGGCUCUGAAACUGAACCCUGGGUCUCCGUGAGCAGUGUGGGGUCGCCAAAACUCGGGGUCGUUUGGGCUCCUGGGCAGCCAGCCCACCGGAAUUUGGUAAUUGCAUGAGCGACGCAGCUGUUUGCAUCGAAGGGGAGUGUAUAAAUCCAAUGUCAUUUUCUUUCAACUGUAGCUUACUUGUUAACCGUACGGCGAUAGUAUGAGGAAGAUGGCUGCUGUCACUUUGGAAAUUUCUGUGUUCCAAAAGUGGGACAGCUCUUAACAGCUGUCUGACCAAGGAAGCGGAUGACUUUAGUGCUAGACAUUUCCAUUUUAAGUCCACAGGAGAUCAUUUAAUUCCUGCUGCCAAGGAACAAAGAUUGUUGUUAUCCGUGUAACCUGCAGAAAUUGAUGGUCCCUGUGGAUUAUGCCACCAUCACUGAAACUUGUGCUGUUUUCAUCAGAAGUCAAUUUUUUAAGGAUUGUGGAAGCCAAACCGCCUAACCUUGCAGAAAGAUAUCCCUCUUAAAAUGUGGAGGAAAAGUUGGUACCAGGAUUUUUUUUCCCUGCUGCUUCCUGCGUUACGGUCUGCAAAGCACUUUUUAUUCUUUUAUAUUCUGUGUAUUUUUAAAAUAUGCUUCAGACAGCUCACUUCCUCCUAGCAGUGACAUUCAGAAAGAAAUUACCUUUUUUUUAAAAAAAAAAGAAGCUAAUAAACAGGCACACAAUUAAGAGAGAUAAUAAAGUCUGAUAAACCAUCUGUAUUUCUCUCUUCUGCUUGCAGUCAUAGAUUCCAGGACCCAUGGUGACCUGAUGUUACCUUGUCUGCCACUGGUGGAAAAGUGAUUAGUUAUACCGAAUAACAAAAAAUGCUCUGUAUCUUACCUUGCCUUUGUCUUUAUUGGAAAGAGCAGGUGUUUGACCUGUUCAUAAUUUAAUUAUUUAUUAUUAAUAAUACUCUCUCUUAUAACACUUUCUUCAUUUACUAAUUUGAAUUAAUGAACAAAGUCCUAUGAUUGUUUUUUGGAUUUUAUUAAAAUGACAUCAAGACACACGCUUAAUGAUUCACCACUUGAGUCCUAAAUAGGACAUUUUUACUGGGUGGAUCAAUUUUUAAAAUGACAGCAUCUGCUUGCUUGUACACAUUUAUUUAUGAUUCUUCCCCAGGCGAGUAUAGCAGGAGUCUGGUGAGUAAUAACCAGCUGUUGGAAUUAGCAAAUAGGGAAGGCAGUUACUUGAUCUGUGAAGGAGUGUGGGAGCCAAGGCCAGAAGUAAUAAAAACUAAACAGAUGCCCCAAAUAUAUAAACCCAAGUAGGGAUGUGUAAAUUACUUGCAGUGCUGAUGGGCAAAAUAGUGUCAGGUGGUUUGACUUUGUCUGGAGUUUUUAUUAAAGAUGAAACCCUCUCCACCACCGUGUCACACAUGGAGAGCAUCCUAGGUCUCAUUCUAGGAUCUCUGCAGUGGUGGGCCAGCAAGAGCAGUGGCAUGUAAGCACAGCAGCUCGCUCUGGUCGCUGCUGUCUGCUGCCUCUUGGAUAUAUUAGCAGAAUGGGCAACAGCGGAUCAUGUGAGGAAACUGCUGUUGGUCCACCUUGUCUCAAAUCCCAGGUGUGCUGUGACUCAGGUCCUUUCUGGUGCUGUUAUGAGGGGAGUUCUUGUACUGAGUAGUUUCUUGGAUAAUCACUGCAGGAGCACAACAGCAGCACUGAAGAUUCUCCAGCUCCUCAGGACUUCAAGCUGCCACUCGGCUCCUCAGGAAUGCCCGGGUCCCUUUUUGGCAGCCUGGCACUCUGGAAUUACUAAGGGAGGUGGUCCGUCUCCUUGUUACCUGUGCUUUGCAGCCUAGAGCCAUGAGAAGAUGCUUUCUGUGGGACUUCUGCCCUUAUCCUGACAGUUGAUGAAGCCCAUCCUGAAGUGACUUGCAGCUUGAGGGGGAAAGCCUGUCCUGAGAAUUAGUGUUUCCUUCCACUGUGACUUUCGGCAGUGAUGGUUUCCUAAGCUGGAAUUUACAUUGUGCUCAUCACAGUUACUGCAGUUGCUCUUAAAUAAAAGCAAAUUUAUGACAAUAAAUGAAAAAUUUACAUUCUUGAUACAUCUCUUUCCCAUUUUGUAAAGAAGAAAAUAAACCAAGGUGAAACUA